rnacentral:rRNA from 1 species
AUUUAACGCUGGCGGCAGGCCUAACACAUGCAAGUCGAGCGAGCGGCGGACGGGUGAGUAAUGUAUGGGGACUGCCCGCUAGAGGGGGAUAACUACUGGAAACGGUAGCUAAUACCGCAUACUAUCGGAUAACCCAUAUGGGAUUAGCUAGUAGGUGAGGUAAUGGCUCAACUAGGCGACGAUCCCUGGCUGGUCUGAGCGGAUGAUCCGCCACCAUGGGACCGAGACACGGCCCAGACGCCUACGGAGGCAGCAGUGGGGAAUAUUGCACAAUGGGUGCAAGCCUGAUGCAGCCAUGCCGAGGGUAUGAAGAAGGCCCUAGGGUUGUAAAGUACUUUCAGUCGGGAGGCGUUACCGACAGAAGAAGCACCGGCUCACUCCGUGCCAGCCGCCGCGGUAAUAC